UCGAUCCCAGGACCCUGGGAUCAUGACCUGAGCUGAAGGCAGACUCUUCACCAACUGACCCACCCAGCCGUCCCUGCAAGUCAUAUUCUGAAAGAAAAAUUUCAAAGUAUAGUUUGGUUUUUUUCCUAGCCGCAGGAAAGUGCCCUGGAUACUUGUGUUAUGGGAGAGUUCACCCAUCUUAUUAGCGGGUCCCCUCUCUGGGGCAUCCGUACUUCCUUACCAUCUCCUGCAUUUUCUUGCCACCCCCAGGCUUGGGUCACUCCCCACACCCCCAACCCGUAGACGCUGCUCUCUGCCGAGUGCGGAGAGUAGCUCAUUUAUUAGGGCUGGGUUGCGUGUCCUGAGUCCCUGUACAGAGGCCCCUACCUUGUGUUCUUCCUCCUUCCUCAGGAGCCAGGGCUCUUCAGAAUCUUAGCCAGAGCUGCCACUCCCCAGAGAAGUUCCAUGAACUGUGCACAAGAGGUUGACUUCACAAUUUUGGAAAAAAGGAGGAUACUACUUGGAGAAGCUCCUUUCAUUUUGAUUCUAGUCAAAGCAACACAGGCUUGUUUUCAGUCACACCAGCACGUAUUUGCAAACGUGUUUGGUGUUUAAUGGGAGAACAAGGCAGUCAAGUGAGCUCAGGUGUGGAAUUUCCCUGCCCCUGAGAGCUAAGCCAGGCACCGAGUUUUAUUUUUUUUUUUAUUUUUUAUUUUUAUUUUUUUUUAUUUAUUUGACAGGGAGAGAUCACAAGUAGGCAGAGAGGCAGGCAGAGAGAGAGGAGGAAGCAGGCUCCCCGCUGAGCAGAGAGCCCAACACGGGACUCGAUCCCAGGACCCUGAGAUCAUGACCUGAGCCGAAGGCAGAGGCUUAACCCACUGAGCCACCCAGGAGCCCCCACCGAGUUUUAUUUUUGAGGAGAAAACAGCAGAAAGCAACAAGCAGGAGCAGGUAGAUGGCUUCUGGAACCAGGAACCCUAACAUAGACAGAACCCAUGGAGAGAUGCCGAUGGAGAUGCCAGAGGUCGAGGACAAGAAAGGAACAAGGUGGUGUUUGAACUCAUCGUAGUAUGAGGUGAGAGGAGAAAAGAGAGGAAGCCCCAGGCCUGAGCGCUUCAGCACCUGUUUUUAAAGCUGGGACUAGGUGACAGAGGGAGAUCCAGGAACGGGGACAGAGAAGGGAGAAGGAAAACCAGGAGUGUGGAAUUAUGGACGCCCGAGCACAAAGAAAUGGAAGGAAGAAAGAAACUACGGCAUUCCGUGCUGACGCUGACAGGAAUGUAAGCCCUGAUUCCGGAAAUAUUAAGUGUGGAAAAAAAGUACUUGUGAGAAUCAAGGAGAUGCAUGUGUUUCUUAUUCAAAGACUUCAGAGUUUUUAAGGAUAAGCCAACUUCUGGAAAAUAAGAUGAACCCACCUAGAGGAAUGUUCUGGCCUUAGAAGUUGUUUAAAAUAAAACCCAGUUCCAGGAAGAAGGGAUAGAACCUUUUAUGAAUGAGCGAGGACAGACGAGCUCUUACUCCUGCUGGGUCGACACAACCUCCAAGCUGCCUCUGGGCAGUCACAUACGAGACAGGCACAAGGAUGAGAUUUUUGUAAUCCCUCCACUUACUUCGACA